GGGCUCCCAGAGGCAGUGAUGUGGCAGCGCCUGUCUCCCGGUGAGUUGGGGAGCUCACACCGUACCUCUGGGGAACCACGCCUGGCUGUUGCAAUGUAACCCAGCACCUGAUGAAAUCUUCCCUGAAAGUUGCAGGUAGUGGGGGCAAAGGACCUUUUGUCUUGCGGUCGAAAGACUCCCGUAGCUGGUUCUGUUUGGCUUCAUAUCCUUCCCAGCAGAGUAAACAGAAAGGGCAUUUUCACGUGGCUCUUCCUUCCAGUCUGAACAAUGUUCCCUAAACACCUGCAAGGCAGAGGACACAGGGCUCCUGGUGCCCGUCCACCUAAGUGCCUCCUGGCCUCAGGGAAUCUGCUUUGGGGACCUGAAAGUAAGGUUCCCUGACCAUCAAGAACAGACAGACACUCAGCCACACUUCUGGAAACCUCCGCCCUUUGAAAGGGACUGGCUGGUGGAAGCAGGCGGCCUGGGGCAUAUCCCUGACCUUAUUACCCCCAGGUGGUGACAGAGAUGAUCUUUAAGUGUGGGAGCCUGGAGCCAAGUCCUUGGCCACAUCCCAGCUCUGCCUGGCUGUGUGCUGGUGGGUUAUUACCCUCAUUGCCUCAGUUUCCCCUCUGCACAAUGGGGCUGGCGCUAGUGCUCCCCACCCCAUAGACUGUCAUGAGAAGUAGCAUCUGGACAGGCCCUGAGAGCAGUGCCCAUCUCUGUGCCAUCCGCUGGGACUGGUGUUGGCCUGGUACUGUACCGUCUCACCCUUGUGUCCCCAGGAGGGGAGUGGGGUCGAGACCAGCCCCAGGGGUUACAUGGACAAUGGGGUUACAUGGACAAAUGCCUCUUGUUACAUUUUGUUCACUGGUUCCCAAAAUGAGGUGCAGGCUCUGCAGAGAAAGCAGGCUUUCCCCGAGGGGCUCUGGAGCAGAAAGAGCUGUCUCAAGGAGACGCAGAGAGAUGGUCUCGGGCGCGACCAGCAGGGAUUCCUCGUCCACACAGUUUCCUGACAGCGGUUGAAAGGGACGGGUCUACGCAGGCCAAGAACAGCAGCGGAGUGUGGGGUCAGGGGCCCAGCGGGGGGCACCCCGGGGAGGGGCCGCCUCCGCCAGACCCACCCCGGGUGAAAGGACGCAUUGUGUGCCCGCAGCAUGAGGGGAGCCUGCAGAGAGGCGUCUUUGUAGGGUCCACGAGGGGGAAAGCGCUUCCCGGCAGGCGGAGCACACAAGCCAGCCGGUGGCCACGGCCGGGACAGGCUUGUACGCAGGACAUUGAGGUCCGGCGAGGAUGGGGGGGCCACCAGGCCCCCGGCCCUUUGCAGAGUGUUGCUCGUUUUCUCCCACCCCAGAAUUGGGCUUGGCCAACACGGCCCCCCCAACCAUCCCCCCACCCCCGCCAGCUGCCCGGAGCCUCUGUGAAGAUGGCGGCACCGCCCCUUGCAAACUCCAUCUGCGUGGAGGUGGCACUCCUGCUCCGGGAGGGAUCCCGGUGCCCAGCAGAUGGCAGGCUUCCCCUAGAUCAGCCCAGGGCUGGCCGCUGCCUGCGGUGCACGCCCCCGCCCUCCCCCUCCCCGCCCCGCCCCGCCCCACCCCCACCUGCCUGUGGCUGGAGGGCAGCACUGCCUGCGCGCCUCCCCACCUGACCUCCCUCUUGCCUCCCUGCCUCCUUCCAAGCAGAUUUUGGUGAAUCCUAAAUCACGUGGAUAUUAACUCGCAAGUGCCUGCAAGCAGUUCUGAGGGCCGGGCUGGGGUGCACACUCACUUGGGCCAGGUCCCCCUGGUCAGGGUCAGCCAGACGCCACUCCUGCAUCCUGUCCACUCUUAGCAGCCUUCUGCCUUCCCUGCUGACUUUCCGCCUCUUCUCUGGGUGUCUGGUGGGUGGAGAGGUGGAGAGCCUCCAGCACAACCUCACCCCACCCCACCUCGCGUCAGCCUCAGCCUCCCCUGAGACUACACGGAACCCAGACACGUUUGACCUCUGGCCCCAAAGCAGAGAUGCCUGGCUGAUGGGAUGGGUGGGAGGCCUGACACAGCCAGAUGCAGCCUGCUUUGUGUCAUUCCUGCUCUCCCGGCGUGGACGCAGGGACCGCCCCCGGGACAGCCCAGCUGGGUCUCCAGGGUGGCUUUGUCUGGAAUUUACUUUGUGAACCUCUUGCUUGUCAAAAUUAUUUCAUAGAUGAUUCAUGGUUAUAUAGAAGUGUCAGAAAUAAAGAGAAGGAGCUCAGAUACAUGACCACCCCUGCCCAUAGCAGCACCGUCCACAGUAGCCCAUGGUGAAAGCGUCCAAGUUCCCCCGACGGGUGACUAGAGAAACGCGGUGUGUUCACACACAUGUUCCACACACACCCAGCGGAACGUUCAGCCUUGGGAAGGCAAUUCUGACACGCGCCGCAACACGGAUGAGUUGAGGACGUUACGCCGAGUGAAAUGAGCCAGACAUAAGGGGCCAAAUCUGUGUGAUUCCACUUGUGUGCGACCCCUGGAGUUGUCAGGCUCAGAGAGGGAAAGAUUGGGGUGCCAGGGGCUGAGGGAGGGGACGUUGGGGAGCUGGUGUUUCAUGGAGACAAAGCUUCAGUUUGGGAAGAAGGAGAGUUCUGGAGAUGGGUGGUGUCAUGGUUGCACAAAAAUAGGAAUGGUAUAAUGCCACUGGGCUCGACGUUGAAAACGGUUAAGGUGGUGAAUUUUAUGUUAUGGACAUUUUACCACAAUAAACAGAGAGAAGGAAAAAUCAGUUAAGACCUUUUAAGGUGACUGGGACUGUGAGACUGGUGCACGUUUUCCCAUCCUUUUGAGAACUGCCUUCUUGGAUUAGGUCUGUAAGCCUGUGUAGGUUGUCCCCACCCCAGCAAUUGGUCGUGAACUUCAAGCAUUGGGAAAUCACGUGGGAGGUGGCUGCCCAGGCUCACCUCUGCCCGGGCUGCAACAGGAGGCUCUCAUGGGGCAGGUGCUGCGCUGUGGCCAGAGUGCUGGCCGGGGGCGUGGGCUCCCACCACCUGGAGCCGGCCCCUCGCUGGCUGGGCGCCCGAGACCCGUCACCGCACACGCCUUGUGAGGGCUACGGCUGCUGUCCACGCGGCUAGUUCAGGCUGAGUUGAAGCCUCCGUCCGAGCAGCUGAAAGUCAAAUCUAGUCGUUAGACUCUGAAAGCUGGUUCAUGUCAGAGACCUGACAUGGAGUGUGGGAAAACCUUGACGGAAGCUUCCAGAGCCUGGCAAGAUUAGAUCAGGAAGUAACACUUUACCUAGUGAGCUUAGAAAAAUAGACUCUCCCUGUUGUCUUCUGGGAACUGGGAAAUCUGAGCGCAGGUUUCUGGGCAUGGAUGCUGCACACAGGCCUGCCCCUGGGGGUGGGCAGCAACACCCCAGCCACCCCAGGAGGGUGGGGACCCCUCGGCUGACUUUUGGGAAUCCAGAGGGGGUCAUUACAGAAGGGCUGGCGCUAGAGUGGCCAUGAGGGUACAGUGGGUCCCUCUCCGCACCCCUUGACCCCAGUCAUCUUUUCAAUACCGUUCUCUGGUGGGACUUGCGAGGGCCGAUGCUGAGGCUGCUCUGCUUGUGCAGAGAGGACAUUCGUGUAUUUGAGGAUGUUCGUGUAUUUGAACAAAGGUUGUAGUGUCUUGGCCUCUCGGCCUUUGGCAUUGCCAGGUAUCUGGGCAGAACCAGCUAGAGCUGCUGGAGAAUACAUGAGCAGUAUCUAGAACAAUUCCGAACUCCACAAGGCCAGUUUGCCAUGCCAGACUGUUGGGAAGAGGCAACGACAACUCGUAUUUAUGACUCUGUCCAUGGCAGGCAAAGCGAACCGUGGCUUUUCAUCCUGGAAAUACCCCAGCACAGUGUUUUUGUGGGAGCCUGUUACUCAAAGCAGGCACAGAGUGGAAAAGGGCCCGAUCAAGGCCACAGUGUGGGAGCUGUCAGAGCAGGGCAGGCCCGAGGCCCAGGGCUCUGCUGAACCAACCACCAGUGAGAGGGGCUUUGAUGCGUCCAGUGAUAAAACCCGUCGGGCAGGUCCUGGGAGGGAUUCUGGCUUUGGGGACUUUGCUGUGCUUAAGUCAUGGGCAAAAGUUCCUGCGCUGGCCAAUUUUGUUUUCAUCGAAUGUGGGGAUCCCUGUUCAGGGGGCACACGGUGCUGCAUUUGAGGGUCUUGAGUGGUCCUCCACAUUUGGGGUGUCCUUUGGGCCAUGUGGAGCCCUGAGAAGGAUUGACAGGUGUUUGGGAGUUUGUGUUUGUAUCUUGGACGAUGGAGGAGUUUCCCUAAUCAUGGUGUUUUUUCAAGUUAAGAAACUUCCUUUGGAGAAGCCGUUUUCUCUUUUACUGAUGAAAGGCUUCUUCUCGGCAGGAGGACUGAAGGUGCUGGGUCCUGAGGGAGGGCCUGGGGCCGGCGGGCAGGUGCGGGUUGGGGAGGGUGGCACCGUCCAGCCCAGCAGAGCCCAGAAGACGGGACCAGGCUGAGGACUUCCACGGGGCUGGCCGGGCUACACAGCACCAUGCUUAGCGGGAUUGGACUUUGAUUUUCUGUGGCUCUAACUGAUAAAACAAGCAGGGGCCUUCUAAGUUUUGCUUUGAGGUUGACUGCCAAUUAAAGAGCCAACAUCUGGUGCAUAGGACCCUCCAGAAAAAGUCUUUUUGCCCUUAAUGUUAAUUUUUUCCCCUUUGUUGGAGUUGAUUUGUUAAGUUGCUGGUGUGUGUUGACAACUGUUUGGUACAGAACGCAGGCACGUGCGUUCACCAGGACCCUGGCUUGCCGAGCGGGAGGUGGUCGACUGUGGACUCUGGGCGCGUUUGACUUUCAGCCAUGGUCUUAUGAUUGGGCAGCUUCCGUCCGGUUGCUGCCCCCUCUGCCCCUUGGGCAUACGCCCAGUGGAGCUUGGACCUGACUCAUAGCUCUCUACAGUCGACAAAAGGAAAAUGUUUCAGUUUGGGUAAAUCAGCCACAGCUGGAGCCAGGGAGAGGCCCAUGGGCUGGUGACUUUUCAGGGUGGUGGUGUUUGUUCAGCGUGUUGUUUUGCUCUGUGACUUUGGAGAGUGCAUCAAAGGCUCGGCGGACGCCCACUUGCCGAGGAGCCACGGCCCUGGCUGGUGGCCAGGCAAGCACCUCCCAGGUAGGCGUCAGGGGAAGCAUCCAAACUAGUAAAUAAAACGGCUUCUGGCAGGACGUGCUAUCAUCCCCCUCUCCCUUCUAAACACACACACGCUUUCACAGAGAAGAACUUAGAAGUAUUUCGUUUGAAUCAGAAGGAAAUAUUGAAUAUCGUCUCAUUCUCCCCCACCUAAUUUUUUUUUUAAACCACAUUCAGAAUUGCUGGGCAACCUCAUUUCCCCACAUUUAGGAUUCUUCCCUCGAAAUCUCAUGCAGGCGUAAAAUCCGAGAGCCUCGGAGGGUUUUUCUGAGCCUCUGCAUCUCCCAGCACCCCGCCCCCACCCAGCACUCAUGUGUUUGUCUGCUUUAAAAGCUUCAGGAUGGGAAAUUCCUCACCAGCCCGUAAGCCGCUGUUUGUAGGAGCCCCUAAACUCUGUGGAACCCAAAUCUCCCAGUACUGACUUAAUUCCCUUUUCCCUGAGAACCAGCUCCCUGCAGCACCCAGGGUUCUGCCCGCAGAGGGAGGCUGUGGCUGGGAGUGGAAAAUGCCCAGCCAGGGGCUACCUUCAUGGGGACAUUCCCUACCCCCAUCCCCACCUUCAUUCGGAAAGAGUCAUGACUCCUGGUCACCAGGCAAACUUCUGUACCUGCUUAUUCUGGUUUAAAAAUAGGUCAGGCAUGAUGACUCAUGCCUGUAAUCCUAGCACUUUGGGAGGCCGAGGCAGGAGGAGCGCUUGAGCCCAGGAGUUCAAGAUCAGCCUGGACAACAUAGCGAGACCCCAUCUCUAUAAAAAAUAAAAAAUUUAGCUGGGCGUGAUGGCGUGCACCUGUGGUCCCAGCUACUCGGGAGGCUGAAGUGGGAGGAUCGCUUGAGCCCAAGAGGUGGAAGCGGAGGUUGCAGUGAGCUGUGAUGUCACCACAGCACUCCAGCCUGGGUGACAGAGCAAGACCCAGUCUGAAAAAAAAGUAAAAAAAAAAUUCCUUAAAGAAAUGCUUAUUCCCCGCUCCCACCCAGACCGAGACGCUCUGGAACAAUUUUCUCCAGUGCUUGAGUUUGGGAUGAGGGCCUGGAAAGACCAUCCAGUCUCCUGCCCCUGGUGGGCAGCCAGUUCUGCCUUGGGCAGCGACACUGGGCACAGCCCGUGACCCAUCCUGGCCCUGAUCUCUUCUGGCUCUCAAGGGAGGUUCUGUGGCCCCACCUCAAAAUUCAGGGUCCCUCUGUGGAAACAAAACAUAUCCCAGAUGGAUUUGCUACAAGGCCAUCCCGGGAAGGGAGCCAAGUAAACACAGCAGCAGAGACCGGAGGGCGCGAGGGGACGGCUGACCGCAGUCCAGCUCCUCCCAUGCAUCACGCCCUCCCACCGGCCCGGCCUCAGGCUUCUCGUUCACCCCCAUCUUCCCGUGGACCUGAUCGGAGGUGUCAUCUCCCGCUGCGGGCUGAGGCUCUGAGGAGGGCCGGGUGUGUAGAGCCUUCCUUGGAAGGGAAAACCCAACCAGGAUGUUGGUUUCCGAGAGGAAGCCCGUUCACCCACCAUGGUGGCUCUGCCCUUUAAUAAGAGGCAAAGAACUCGGGUGCUGCGGGUACUGGUCACUCUGUCAGGGCAGACAUACCCCUUGCCGUUCAUCCUUCAAAGGCCAGGCUUCGGCAGGGGGCGGCACGUGUGGUCUCUCUUUGGCCUUUUCUGGUGGAAGGUCCUGGGGUAGGGAGUCCUCACGUGGUUGCUCUGCAGGGAGGGGCCCUCCAAAAAUAAUCCCGGGGCCUCUUACCCACCACUGCAACGCUGACGAUACUGCACUGAGGAAUCCACUCUUGAGCUUUGCUUUGAAACGCUGCACAUUUGCGUCUGCCCAGACUUCUGUCUAAGAGGUGCUCAGAGAUCACCUUGCGUUUAUGAAGCGAACGUGGCCUUGGGAUAUAGACCUGGGGCCCCAAGUCCAAGACCAGUGAAUAAAGUGAGAGAUGGCUUUGCCCCAAGUGGGUGAGGUGGACCCAGCACCCAUGCUUGCCGCCUCCUGCCCUCCCUCCCGCACUUUGGGACCACGAGGAAAUUGGCACUGCAGUGAUUCAUGCAGCUGCUAAUCAAAAGCUUUUAUUUCCUGAUUAUCUCUCCGUUUGAGGGAUGGCAGAUGCCAGUGCAGUCAAAAUAUAAACAGAUUCUAGUCAGGACCUUUCAAAGCAGACACCAGCCGUUCUGAAGAGCGGAGGGCCGCGCCCCUUAUGCCGCCUGGCAGAAGAGUUUCGUUGGGAAAAAUGGUUUUUCAUAACCUUUCUGCUUUCUUAUUUAAAUUAAGCUUUGCCGGGAGAGUUUGGUAGUAGCAGAGGGCCCCUGAUUUGGUCCCCUUUGACCUCCACAGCCUUGAUUGGCAGUUUGUUGUGGGCAUUGAAGUUGUGGCUGCGAGGUGGGAGCCAGCAGAACAAAUACUCUAGGACAGCUGGGCAUCCCCGAGGACCCAGCCGAGGGGGGAGUGUGCGCAAUUAGAGAGGUCUUCACACAGAAAGUUAAUUAGCUACUAAAUGGCAUUUAGCACAGUUUAUGAGAAUUGCAUGUUUGAAAAGCAAAUGGAGAUCAAUGCGGAAUGGCUGCCACCGGAUGGGGACCCUUGGACCCAGCACCAGUCUCAGGGCCUGGGAUGCCCCCCACCCCGAGCGUGAGUGCCAGGCCAGUGCCCGCUGAGACUGGACUGGGAGAUGCUCCUCGAGGACCUGCCUGGCCUUGGGGGGCAGUCCUGCUUCGCACCCACAGCCGAGCUUCCCUGUCCAAAAAAAGUGAGUAAACACGUCUUCAGUUUCGGGGAACUGUGUCUGCCGUGGCCUGGAUAGUGACUCCCUUCCCCGCAAAUUCAUGGCCACUCAGAACCUCAGAAUGUGACUUUAUUUGGAAAUAGGGUCUUUGCUGAUGGGAUCAAGGGAAGGAUCCAGUUGAGGUCUUCCUGGAUUAGGGUGGCCCUAAAUCCAACGGAUGUCUUUAAAAGACACGGACGGACACACAGACACAGGAGGGGCAGGGAGAUGGAGGCAGAGAUGGGAGUGAUGCUGCUGCAGGCUUGGGGGCUUCCAGGAUCCAGGACGAGCACCUCCAGCUGGAAGAGGCAGGAAAGACUCUUGCCUGGAGCCUUCAGAGGGGGCGCGGCCCGACUAGCACCUUGACUUUGACCUCCAGAACUGCCAGACAAUACAUUUCUGUUGUUUUCAAGCUUCUGGUCUGUGGUCCUUCAUUACAGCAGCCCUGGGAAAUGCUGUGUCACCACCAAAACGCAGCCCCCAAAACAUAGCCCCAGCUCCAUCGCAGGGCUGUGUCCGAAGCUGGAGGAUGGUGGGGUGGGUGGGGGGGAGCCAGAGGGAGGCCUUAGGACCUGCUUUUUGUUUCUGUUAUGAUCUGAGGUCUGACUUCAGUGUGGUCUUUUCACCUGCUUGUCUUAGUUCCCUGUUGAUCCUAUGGAGGGAUUGCUUGGGGCUAUUUUUGUUUUGGGGAGGGUGGUUUUUGCUCUUUUUAACUGUUUUUUUUUUUUUUGCCUUUACUGUUUUCCAUGUUUUGGAGGGCUUUUGUUUGUCUCCUUUCCUUCCUUCCUUCCUUCCUUCCUUCCUUCCUUCCUUCACUCCCUCCCUCCCUCUUUUCUUUCUCUUUCUUUCUUUUUCUUUCUUUCUCUCUCUCUCUUUCUUUCUUUUUAAUUAUAAAAGUAGCACCUGCUCCUAAGGAAAUUCUGGGAGAUAGGGAAAAGACAAAAGAAGGGUGUGAAGCCCCACCAUACCCAGCUCACCACCGUUAACUUUUUGGUGUAUUUCCUUCAGCCUUGUGUUUACUUUUAUUUUUUAUUUUUGCUUCCGAUGCCUAAGUUAUUUUACAGAGUUGUAGACAGGCAGGCUGUAUAUAAAAUUCACUUUCUUGGUUUAAAAUUUUUUUUGAUUUUAGGCCAGGCACAGUGGUUCACACCUGUAAUCCCAGUGCUUUGGGAGACUGAGGUGGGAGCAUCACUUCAGGCCUGGGCAACAUUGUGAGAUCCCAUCUUUACAAAAAAGUAUUGAAAAAUUGGCUGGGCGUGCUGGCAGAUGCCUGUGGUCCCAGCUACUUGGGAGGCUGAGGCAAGAGGAUGGGCUUGAGUCUGGGAGUUCAAGGUCAGCCUGGGCAACAAAUGAGACCCCCGCCCCCCCACCCCGCCAUCUCUGUAAAAAAUACAAAAUAAAUAGUCAGGUGCUGUGGUGCCUGCCUGUAGUCCCAGCUACUCAGGGAGGCUGAGGAGGGAGGAUCCCUUAAGCCUGGGAGAUCAAGGCUGCAGUAAGCCGAGAUCAUACCCCUGCACUCCAGCAUGGGUGACAGAGCAUGACCCUGUCUCUAAAUAAAUUUAAAUUUUUUUUAAAUUUUGUCAUAUUUGAUACAUGCCAAAGAAUAUUUGUAGCAUGUAAACCAUGAAACACAAUCAUAAAUGAACCCCGUGACCCAGCGCCCCCUGUGUCUGAACUAGAGCUUCCUAGGAGGCCAGUGCUCCACUCCUUCCUCCCCAGUCUGGUCGUUCCGUGCCCCGGUCUCCAGAAGGAACCACCUUCCGGAAUGCCGUGGGCGGCACUUCCUUGCUCUCCUAAAGCAGGCUUUGCACACAUGUGCACUUCUCAACAUUCUGCCUUGCUUUGAGCCCUAGGAAAGCGUCCCCGUCUUUGUAGCCGUCGGUGGCUCAGCUCCCCGUGCCUGAGGUGCUGCGGGUGCUCACUCCAAUAGGGGGACACUGUCUCCAUGGCUGUUCCCCAGGUUGUCCACACUCCUGUUGAUGACCAUGUGGUUUAGUUUGGGUUUUUCUCUGUGAAUGAUGUCACCUUGACAGCUUCUGUGCACACCUUUGGUGCAGAGGGACAGGAGCCCCUCCGAGGGGCCCCUGGGCCCUGCAAUGUGCACUCAACCUCCUAAGACACACCGACUGCAUUUCCUGGGGUGGGGCCAGCUGAGAGUCCCUGAGAUUACAUGGUCUGUCUUGCCAUUCUCAAUUCAUGCCCUGCCAUAAACCCCUCCCGCGCUGCCACGUCUUCUGAACCGCCACUGGGUUUCACGCCUGCACAGCGGCCUGUUGGUGAGGGACGUAGCAUUUCACUUGCCCAUGCCCCUUCCAUGGACAUGGAGCUGUUCCCGGCUUCCCGCUUGUCCUUGAUGAACACGUCUGUGCUUGGAGCUCUGCACACAGAGGCUCGGGGUGGAUGCGUGUGCACACACACAGGGAUUCCGCACAAACGUGGAUGACGCAGGUUCAGUAUUUACGUGUACACACAUAUGCAUGCACAAAGAAGUUCAAUGUCAUAUUAUUUAUUUUACAAAAAAGUGGAAUGAGUAACAUCCCAAUUCUUGCCUACAGGGAAUUUUUUUGUUUUGUUUUGAGACAGAGUCU